rnacentral:lncRNA from 1 species
AGACAGGAAGGCACCGGGCUCUAGCAGCGGGUCCCCAGUUUUGCUUGUGAGCUGCAUUCCACUGGCCACUCUGCCUUUCAUAGAGGUGAGGUAUUAAUAGUAGUUGAGGAAGACUUUAUGAGGGAGAUUGGAUUGGUGCUGAGCUUUGAAAGAUGAAUGAAAUCAUUUGGGGGAUUCAUCCACAAAAAACACAGAGACUGGCCAACACUGAUUUGCAGGGUAAGUUUACGGCAUUCUAAUGAGACUAGCCUUGUUGGACCAGUAGAUUCUAGUGCUGAGUAGUGUGAGGCUAGAAAGGCGUGUUCUCUUGUUCUCAUGUAAGCUCUGGGGGUGA